UACGAGAGGCCCAAACGUUAUUCGGAAUUACUGGGCUUAAAGAGUUCGUAGGCGGCAUGAAAAGUAGGGUGUGAAAGCCCUCGGCUUAACCGAGGAAUUGCGCUCUAAACUGUCGUGCUAGAGGAACCUAGAGGUGAGCAGAACAGAUGGUGGAGCGGUGAAAUGCGUUGAUAUCAUCUGGAAUACCGGAGGCGAAGGCGGCUCACUGGGAGUUUUCUGACGCUGAGGAACGAAAGCCAGGGUAGCGAACGGG
rnacentral:rRNA from 1 species